UCUACGGGUGGCAGCAGUGGGGAAUAUUGCACAAUGGGGGAAACCCUGAUGCAGCGACGCCGCGGGAGUGAAGAAGUAUUUCGGUAUGUAAAGCUCUGUCAGCAGGGAAGAAAAUGACGGUACCUGACCAAGAAGCCCCGGCUAACUACGUGCCCGCAGCCGCGGUAAUACGUAGGGGGCAAGCGUUAUCCGGAUUUACUGGGUGUAAAGGGAGCGUAGACGGCAGGGCAAGUCUGGAGUGAAAGGCGGGGGCUCAACCCCCGGACUGCUCUGGAAAAUGCCAGGCUGGAGGGCAGGCGAGGUAAGUGGAAUUCCUAGUGUAGCGGGGAAAUGCGUAGAUAUUAGGAGGAACACCAGUGGCGAAGGCGGAUUACUGGACUGUAACUGACGUUGAGGCUCGAAAGCGUGGGGAGCAAACAGGAUUAGAUACCCGGGUAGUC
rnacentral:rRNA from 1 species